rnacentral:rRNA from 1 species
CCUACGGGUGGCAGCAGUGGGGAAUAUUGGACAAUGGGGGCAACCCUGAUCCAGCCAUGCCGCGUGUGUGAAGAAGGCCCUCGGGUUGUAAAGCACUUUCAGUGAGGAAGAACGCCUGGUGGUUAAUACCCAUCAGGAAAGACAUCACUCACAGAAGAAGCACCGGCUAACUCCGUGCCAGCAGCCGCGGUAAUACGGAGGGUGCGAGCGUUAAUCGGAAUUACUGGGCGUAAAGCGCGCGUAGGUGGCUUGAUAAGCCGGUUGUGAAAGCCCCGGGCUCAACCUGGGAACGGCAUCCGGAACUGUGAAGCUAGAGUGCAGGAGAGGAAGGUAGAAUUCCCGGUGUAGCGGGGAAAUGCGUAGAGAUCGGGAGGAAUACCAGUGGCGAAGGCGGCCUUCUGGACUGACACUGACACUGAGGUGCGAAAGCGUGGGUAGCAAACAGGAUUAGAUACCCGAGUAGUC